rnacentral:SRP_RNA from 1 species
CUUAGGGUUUUACGAUAUAUUGAUAUUGAACCGUGUCAGGUCUGGAAGGAAGCAGCACUAAGAUACUUAAUAUAUGCGUAUUUUCCCUUAGGGUA